rnacentral:lncRNA from 13 species
CGAGUUGCAGCCUGAUUGGAGGAUGUUUUAGGUACGAACUAGCCUACAAGUGAAUUUCUGGCGGCACAUAAUGCGUUUGGAUGGUAAGAUGAAACCAUCAAUACCAGAUCGUUAUCGCCAUCUGCCGGCCUUUAGGCUAUAAUUUGUACAUCCUGUUAGUUGCUGUCACAUGAAUGUUAUGUUAUGUUGUGAAAGCUCAGCUUGACAAUUUUAUGUAAAAUCUCACGGUUCUUAGCUUGCAAGCUGGAUAUCAAGUGGCAGAUGUUCCUGCUAAAUAACAGCGAGAUAUCCCCGACAGCUAUUUUAAAAGCUUCAAAGACGACCGUUAUCUGGGAAAGUCUCACGCAAAAUGAUUGUGUCCCUGUGUAGAAUUUUCACGACGGGGUCCCCCGAGUGGCGCAGUGGUCUAAGACAGUGCUAGCUGUGUCACUAGAGAUCCUGUUUGGGGUCCAGGCUCUGUCGCAGCCGGCCGCGACCUGGAGACCC